rnacentral:rRNA from 1 species
GACGAACGCUGGCGGCGUGCCUAAUACAUGCAAGUCGAGCGGAUGGAAGGAAGCUUGCUUCCUAAAGUCAGCGGCGGACGGGUGAGUAACACGUGGGCAACCUGCCCCUAAGAUCGGGAUAACUUCGGGAAACCGGAGCUAAUACCGGAUAUGAUUAUGUCUCACAUGAGACAUAAUGGAAAGACGGUUUCGGCUGUCACUUAGGGAUGGGCCCGCGGCGCAUUAGCUAGUUGGUGAGGUAACGGCUCACCAAGGCGACGAUGCGUAGCCGACCUGAGAGGGUGAUCGGCCACCCUGGGACUGAGACACGGCCCAGACUCCUACGGGAGGCAGCAGUAGGGAAUCUUCCGCAAUGGACGAAAGUCUGACGGAGCAACGCCGCGUGAGUGAAGAAGGUUUUCGGAUCGUAAAACUCUGUCGUUAGGGAAGAACAAGUACCAAAGUAACUGAUGGUACCUUGACGGUACCUAACCAGAAAGCCACGGCUAACUACGUGCCAGCCGCCGCUGUAA